GAUGAACGCUGGCGGCGUGCCUAAUACAUGCAAGUCGAGCGAACAGAUGAGGAGCUUGCUCCUCUGACGUUAGCGGCGGACGGGUGAGUAACACGUGGAUAACCUACCUAUAAGACUGGGAUAACUUCGGGAAACCGGAGCUAAUACCGGAUAAUAUAUUGAACCGCAUGGUUCAAUAGUGAAAGACGGUUUUGCUGUCACUUAUAGACGGAUCCGCGCCGCAUUAGCUAGUUGGUAAGGUAACGGCUUACCAAGGCAACGAUGCGUAGCCGACCUGAGAGGGUGAUCGGCCACACUGGAACUGAGACACGGUCCAGACUCCUACGGGAGGCAGCAGUAGGGAAUCUUCCGCAAUGGGCGAAAGCCUGACGGAGCAACGCCGCGUGAGUGAUGAAGGUCUUCGGAUCGUAAAACUCUGUUAUUAGGGAAGAACAAAUGUGUAAGUAACUAUGCACGUCUUGACGGUACCUAAUCAGAAAGCCACGGCUAACUACGUG
rnacentral:rRNA from 1 species